UGGGGAAUAUUGGACAAUGGGCGCAAGCCUGAUCCAGCAAUGCCGCGUGGGUGAAGAAGGCCUUCGGGUUGUAAAGCCCUUUUGUACGGGAAGAAAAGCUUCGGGCUAAUACCUUGGGGUCAUGACGGUACCGUAAGAAUAAGCACCGGCUAACUUCGUGCCAGCAGCCGCGGUAAUACGAAGGGUGCAAGCGUUACUCGGAAUUACUGGGCGUAAAGCGUGCGUAGGCGGUUUGUUAAGUCAGAUGUGAAAGCCCCGGGCUCAACCUGGGAAUUGCAUUUGAAACUGGCGAGCUAGAGUGUGGUAGAGGGUGGUGGAAUUCCCGGUGUAGCAGUGAAAUGCGUAGAGAUCGGGAGGAACAUCUGUGGCGAAGGCGGCCACCUGGACCAACACUGACGCUGAGGCACGAAAGCGUGGGGAGCAAACAG
rnacentral:rRNA from 1 species